UACGGAGGAUCCAAGCGUUAUCCGGAAUUACUGGGCGUAAAGAGUUGCGUAGGUGGCAGAGUAAGUUAGUAGUGAAAGAGUCCGGCUCAACCGGAUACACAUUACUGAAACUGCUCAGCUAGAGGACGAGAGAGGUAAAUAGAAUUCCUGGUGUAGCGGUGGAAUGCGUAGAUAUCAGGAGGAAUACCGAUGGCGUAGGCAGUUUACUGGCUCGUUCCUGACACUAAGGCACGAAAGCGUGGGGAGCAAACGGG
rnacentral:rRNA from 1 species